rnacentral:rRNA from 1 species
GAUGAACGCUGGCGGCGUGCCUAAUACAUGCAAGUCGAACGGAAAGGUCAUGCUCUUGUGGGGUGCUCGUGUGGCGCACGGGUGUGUAUAGCGCGUGUAUCCCGUACCUGUAUUUGGGAUAACUCUUGGAAACACGGGCUAUAACCGCAUAGGAGAUCUUGCUGCACGGUGGGGGAUGGAAAGUUUCGGCGGUUGGGGAUGGACUCGCGGCUUAUCAGCCUGUUGGUGGGGUAGUGGCUUACCAAGGUUAUGACGGGUAGGCGGCAUGGGAGGGUGACCGGCCACAAUGGGACUGAGAUACGGCCCAGACUGCUACGGUAGGCAGCGGUGGGGAAUAUUACACAGUAGGCGGGAGCCAGAUGCGACGGCGCCGCGUGCGUGAUGACGGCCUUCGGGUGGUAAACCGCUUUCGCAUGUAACGAGGCGUGAGUGACGGUAAUGGGUAAGAAAGCACCGGCUAACUACGUG